UAUACCCUCUCCUUUGACCGUUCAUUAAAAUCCUCCCAUCCUCUCUCCAAUCGUUAUCUCUUUCCUUGGCGACGCAGCCGAGCCUGCCCCUUACCGCUCGCACUCCGGCGGCAACGCAGCACAGCGCGGUCGACCUCGCACAGCGUCACCCCUCGUUGAUCAUCGUCCUCCAUGCUCCGAACCCCCAAGCGGCGGCACGUUGAAGCCGCCGUUGAACGUGAUAUGCUGGAAGUGACGUCGUGGAGCAACAUCCUCGACUUCCGCGGCCAUGGGCGGAUUCCCCCCGGCGGCCGUCGUGGUGACCGUCCGCUCCUAGCGUAGUGGCCUACUAGCGGCGUGGGUGGUCGUCUGCUUGGGUCCAUGUCAGAUCUCUGCAUGGUGGGGAUGUCGAUGGAUGGAUCACUGCAGGCAAGUCUGAAUUUUCUUCUGUGCGUUUCCUUCACGUUUUUUACGUUUUCAGUAUGCUCUGUUCUGUAGCAACCUGAUCCAACCUGAUCCAAUUUGAUUCUGGUAGGGACGGUUUCAGUAUGCUCUGCCUUUUGUAGCACCCUGAUCCAAUUUGAUUCUGAACGUAGUUAAGUCCCUACUCUGAUAUGAGCCUGUCGAUGCACAACCUGUUUGAUGUCUUUGCCGUGAACGCACAUUCAUGUGGAGAUUCCAGCAUGAGUCUGAAAGUGGAAAGGCAGGUAACCUUUUUCUUUGCCUCGCAUCCACCCGCGUCAUGGAUGCGCACCCGCAUGACAUGUAGAAUCGGAAGCUGGUCCAUUACGGCAAGGCGGCGGAAGUGUAGCCGGCAGCCGGGCACGGUGGUGUUGUCGAUUGUCGUCUUCCCCACCAGCGGCACGUAGGUAACCCGUUCGAUCAAAUUCCCCCUGAAAAAGCUUUGUCUGUGAAGUAAAAGCACUUGUCUACCAGCUCUGGAUCCUGCGUGUCCAUGAAUUUUGAUGCUAUCACUAUGGAGUUUUGAUUCAUGUGCUGCAAUUCCAAUUGGAAUCGAUUUCCAUGAGUUUUGCAUGCUCAUGAGCUUUGAUUC